GAGUGCAGUGAUGUUUACAACUAACUGAUCACAACCAGUUACAGAUUUCUUUGUUUCUUCUCCAUUCCCACUGCUUCACUC
rnacentral:sRNA from 1 species